UGCUGAGACUUUCCCACUGGCUUGUGUUCUGUGAUCAUGGCUGCAGCCGACCACACCAGCCAUGUUUGCUAAUUUAAAACCCAAAGGUUAGAUAAUAGUUGUUUAUUAUUUAUCGUUGUGCCAUCUUCCCACAUUCAUCCUGCAGUGUGAAGCCGCGAGGCAUCAGAGCCUGUACACAUCCGAGGAAGUAAAGAUGGAGGCAAAUAACCAUUUCAACUAUGGCACACAACCCGCAGCAUCAACCAACUCAGGAUUGAAACGAUCCUCAGGGGACUCUCUCUAUACUAACGGGUCCUCCAUGAGCUUCCCCCAGCAGGGAAAGAAUAUGAAUGGCGAAAUGAAUGUGAACGGCGUGACUACUGUACUCGGGUCCAGUGUGCCUGGCUCCCAUCCACCAACAACACCGUACCCCCACAUGAGCAACCACCAGAGCAGCGUGGGCUACGACUACCUAUGGGGUGGCCAGGCUCAAUACAGCUCAGCCAUGGGUCCAUCCCCUGGCCAUGGGAUGCACCAGAAGCAGCCCCCCUCCGGCAUGAUGCAGCCUCAGUCACAGCACCACUACCAGGGACAUGGACAGUACCAGCUCAAUGGGGGCAUGGGAAGCUCCCACCAGCCCCCAGUGGCAGGCUCACCGAACAUGUCCUCACCUGGCGGUCAGUACUGGAAUAGGGGUAACCCAGGCCCACAGCAGAUGGGCUUCAACUCCCCCAGUGUGUAUGGGAGCUACCAGAGCCAUGUGCACCCUGGGCUUUCCUCGUCACUGCAUCACCAGCAGCAGCAGCAGUCUUUACAGUCACCCGCGCAUCAGCCAUCUCAACAACAUCUCCACUCUCAGCAUCACCCACAGCAUCACCACCAGCAGCAGCAGUCUCAGCAUUACAGCAUGAUGCCCAACGGGAUGCCCUAUUACCAGCCCCAUCACCCUGCCCUACCCGCUCCCCAGCCACAGCCGACCACACCGUCUCAGCCCCAAAGCCAGUCUCCAAUGAUUCCUCCAGCGCCACAGAACUUCACUCCUCCCCGUGGCAGCCCGCAGCACCAUAAUAUAGGCAGAGGGGGGACCAGUAGCCCCCUGCCGGUAUCCUCUGUGUCUAUGCUGUCACCCUCAAGCGCACAGGAUGGUAGUUCACCCCAGGGUCCAAGCAGGGAGAGAAGCCCUCAUCCAGCCAAUGCAGGAAGGCCUGCUGUCAUGCAAGGUAAUAUGAGUGAAACCUAUCAGGAGGCGGAUGAAGGGUACAAAUUGAUGGACGAGGCCAGAGGUGGCCAAAGGUUGCCUAGAAGUGAUGGUUUCCAACCCAAACCGCCCUUACCUCACGAGUACAAUCAGCAUGCUGAGCAGUCUGCAGCCCAGUGCCCGGACAUUUUAAAGAGGGACCCAGCAGUGAAUGCCUCCCCUCGCUCCAUGUCGUCUCAUCCCUCUGGAUCCCCGGCGGCCGUUUCGACGUCUCCUUUGGGAAAAGCGUCAACACCUCCUCGGCUCUCUAUGGUUCCUGUGGUCUCUUCCGUGUCAGCCCCGGGACCAGCCACCGAUCCAUCCCACGCUGUGGUGUCGACUCCGCCACGAGUCGCAACGCCCCCGAGUUUGGCAUCUCUACACUCUGUAGCCGGGUCUCCGAAACUUUCUUCCCCUCCUCUAAUGGUGCAGGGCCUAAGGCCUCCCUCUGGUUGUGGUUCCCUGCUUGAUUCGGCUGGAUCUCCCCACAGGACAUUGGGAUCUCCUUCCCGCGUGCCUGCUCUACCUUCCAAUUUACCUGCACUGCCACCAUUGCUGGAUACUGCCCCCAGGCUGCCAGUAGUUCCAUCAGCUCCGUUAGUCCCUGCUCCGGCCUUGGUGUCUAAUUCUGAGGGGAGGAAGAUGUUGUUUCCCCGCAUGACCUCUUCCCCGUACACCACAAGUCACGCAACCACAACAGCACUUGCCCCUUCCUACUCGGGUUCGGCGCCCAUUUCUGCGCUCCAGCAGAUGGUCGAUGGGUCAAGGUCCCUUCCAGUGACAUCGCGCUUCCCAGAUCCAUCAAAAGCGCCACCGGAAGUGUCAGGACCUUUGACAAAAAAUGGCUCAUCUCCUGCACCACCUAAACCUCGCUCUUUGGUAUCUACACCUCCAAGAUUAGUGCCCGCUUUUCCCUCUGCUGACGACAAGUCGGUGCCCACACUCCAGCUUCAGACGUCACUGUCUCCUACGACCGAAUCUGCUCAUACUACUGCUCCAGCAACCACAUUAUCUCCAGCACAAGUGGACGCAGAACGGCUGGCACCCUCAGUCCAAGGUCCUGCAUCCCAGCCCUUGUAUUCCCUACCUCCUUCAACCACUCAAGCCUCCAGAACCUUUGUGUCUGCUCCCCCCCCCUUGGUGUCUUCGACUACUUCAGCAGCCGCUGCCUCUCCCUUGGCCCAAGCCAGUGCUGUGACGAAAGCCUCAUCCAACAACAUCCCUUCUCCACAAGCUCCCAAACCGCGUCCUCCAAAAACGGAGGAAGAGGAUGGUGACGGUAGGGAUGGGAUCGGAGCAAGGCCCCCGCAGCGCGACACCGCUGCGGCCAACGACCGCAGCGCGGCCGACGAAGGGUCUUGUGACGACGCCUCUCAAUCUGAGGACGAGUCGCUGCUCCACAGCACCUCCAGAGUGGACCUCUCCAGCUCAGGGAUGGAGGACACGUCUCAGAUGGACGGCGACGGCUCACACGUGAACGAGUCCACUCGCAUGGACGACAGCUCAUUCAUGGCGGAAGAAGCGUCUCAGUUCGACCGGACCUCUCACUCGGAGGAGGAGCCCUCUGGGGUGGCCGACUCGACCCUGGAUAGCCAAGCUUCCUCCUCCUCGGAGGAGGAGGAGUUUGAGGAUAGCCGGGCAGAAGAGAGCUCUCAAGCAGACGAGACCAAGGGCAGCGUUGUGAGCACCAGGGAUGCUACGCUGGACUCCUCCCUGAACAGCACCUCUCAGCUCGAGGAAUCCAACGUUGACUCUCUGCAGAUGGAGCUGUCCAACGUGGACUCGUCGCAGAUCAAUACCUCUGUCGCAGACUCAACCGGACCACUUCACACAUCAACUCAAGAAUCUGAAGAUGAGGCGGCCAAUGCAUGUGACCUACCUGACUCUGCUGGACCUAUUGGUGAUAAAGCCGCUGUUACUGAGGCAACGCCUGGCCCUGCUUCAAAGAUAAUGGAAGAGGAGAUCACGGCCCUGAUGGAGGCCCCUGACCCACCUCGGGUCCCGCCCCUCACCAUCAAAACAUCCCCUGCCUCCGGGAGGCCGGUUAAAACACCAGGGAAACCCCGGAAACCCCGGACUCCCAAGGCCUCCACUCCAGCGGCCGCCCCAGCGGAGAAGGCCCCGCGUAAGCCCCGGGCCAGAACGCCGAAGGUGGAGAAGAUCAAGAAACCCAAGGGGGCGGAGGCCAAAGCAGACGAGGGAGCCAAGGUGAAGGGCGCGGGCCGGAAGAGGAAGAAGCCCCUCAAGGAGGAGGCAAAGGACGCGUCGGACGUCUCCCAAACGGCGGGGCCUCCCACAGGAGAGUUGGACCCCAUUUCGGCCAUCAUCGAGGCCGUGCUCGCCAGGGCUUCAGAAGCCAGCUCUGCCGACGAGACCCUGAAGAAGCCGAAGAAGGCGAAGAAACAAGGUCAGGAAGGAAGUGCGGCCAAGGUGCCCAAACUCCAGGCCGACGCCGCAGAGGAGGAAGUGGAAAACGAUGCAGAUGACAGCUCCACUGCAGGAGAGUCCAAUAGACGGAGGGUCGCAACUGAGGAGCAGGUGCAGUUCCCUCUGUUGCACGGAUGGAGGAGGGAGAUCCGUGUGAAGAAGACCGAGAGCCGGAUGAAAGGGGAAACCUGGUACUACACUCCCUGUGGCCGAAGGAUGAAGCAGUUCCCGGAAAUCAUCAAAUACUUGAAAAGGCACCAGGAUAGCGUGGUCUCCAGGGAACACUUCAGCUUCAGCCCCCGCAUGCCCAUAGGAGACUUCUACGAAGAGAGGGAAACACCCGAGGGCAAGACGUGGGUGCUGCUGGCGAACGAGGAAGUUCCUUCCAUCAUCAUGGCGAUCACCGGCCGCCGCGGCCGACCGCCCAACCCGGACAAGGAGAAGCCCCGCAGGGUCCGAGCCCCGAAGGGGGGGCAAGUGCGGCGCCCUGGCAGACCCCCCAAACCCAAGAUGGUGGACCUGCUCAGCAAAGUGGACGCCAAGCUGUUGAAACGCCUGGAGGCCAAAGAAGCAAUUACGGAGGAGGAUAAAGAGAAAAUCGCAAAAAUCAAGAAGAAAAUGAAGAGAAAGGCGAGGAUGAAAAGAAAGGAGGAUAACAAGAAUAAGAAGAUCCGAGACGAGAAGAAGAAAGCAAAGCUGGAGAAGGAGCAGGUGGUGAGUGACCAAGCAGCCGCCGCUGAACCAACCGACGGCGUCGCCCCGCCAGCCGACUCGACGAAAACCCACGAGUCUCAGCAGGAGCCCAAGAAGACCAGAAAGAAGAGGACCAAGGCCGUGGCCCCGGCUCCCGUGCAGCAGACGGACGAGGAGAGGAUCGCCCAGGGCAAGAGGGUGCUGGGGGCCCGCAGCAAGGCCAAGGCCCUGGCCAAGGCCCAGGCGGAGGCGGAGGCCGCAGCCCAGGCCGCCCUGACGGCCAAGCGGGCCGCAGAGAGGCGGGCGGCGGCCCAGAGACGACUGGAGGAGAGGAAGAGGCAGCAGACCAUCUCUGACGAGCUGAAGAAGCCCACAGAGGACAUGUGCCUCACCGACCACAAGCCUCUCCCUGAGCUCUCUCGCAUCCCCGGGGUGGUGCUCUCGGGCGCCGCCUUCGCUCACUGCCUGACGGUGGUGGAGUUCCUGCAUGGCUACGGCAAGGUGAUAGGCCUCAACAUUCCCAAGGACAUUCCCAGCCUGGCCACCCUCCAGGAAGGCCUGCUGGGGCUGGGCGAGGGGCAAGGCGAGGUCCAGGAUCUGGUGCUGAAGCUGCUGGAGGCGGCCUUGCACGACCCCGGCCUGUCCUCCUAUUACCAGUCGGUGAAGAUCCUCGGGGACAAGCUGGCGGACCUAGAGCUGACCCGCAGCACCGUGUCGGAGCCCCUGCGGCUCUUCCUGGAGUCCCACGGCUACGACCUGGAGGUGUGUGACACGCUGAGGACCAAGACGUUCCACGCCCUGGCGCCCGACACCAAGGCCUCCAUCCUGGGCUUCCUGGUGGAGGAGCUGAACGGCAGCAACAUCGUCAUCAGUGACAUCGACAACACCCUGGAGAACAUGGCCACCUACAGGAAGAACAAGUGGAUCAUCGAGGGGAAGUUGCGAAAGCUGAAGUCGGCCCUGGCCCGGCGUACGGGCCGCUCGGAGGAGGACCUGGGCCUGGAGGAGAGGCGGCGCAGCACCCGGAUGGCGGAGGACGAGGCCACGGAGGACGGCGGCCUGCUGCAGGACCGGGCCAGCCGCCGCGCACGCAAGGAGGAGCCCAAGCUGAGCGACAGCGAGAGCCCGACAAACGCCAGCAUUCCAGAGCUCGAAAGGCAGAUCGAUAAGCUCACCAAGCGCCAGCAGCUCUUCCGGAAGAAGCUGUUGCAGUCGUCCCAUUCCAUGCGGGCCGUCUCUCUGGGACAGGACCGCUUCCGCCGCCGGUACCUGGCGCUGCCGCACCUCGGGGCCAUCCUGGUGGAGGGGCCCGAGGAGCUCCUGUCAUCCGAGGAGGUCCUCGUGGCCGAGGUGCCCGUCACUCUGCUGAAGAGGGAGCCCAAGGUGGAGGAGACCCCCACGCCUACCUCUCCCCCCGCCGCCGCCUCCCCUACGGCCACUCCCAGCGUCAAGCCGCCUACCUCCUCGCCGGACGAGACCCUGGACGACGACGGGCUCCCGGGCACGGCGUCCCUCAUGAGCCAGCCCCGGGGCCGCGGCCGGCCCCGCAAGAUCAAGCCGGAGGUGGAGCUGCACCUGCGCACCGCCAAGAUCCGCCGGCGCCGGCGGAGCAGCGCCCGCUCGGGCGGCGAGGACGGGCCCGGCUCGCCGGCCGGCGCCGGCAGGGACCUCGCGCACACGGCCUUCAAGAGCUCGCUCACGCAGGAGCCGUACGCCAACGGCACGGCGAUGGGGGACGCGCCCGGCGGCCAGCGGCCCGAGGACGGCGUGAAGGAGACGGCCGAGAGGCGGGGCCAGUGGUUCAACCUGCUGCCCAAAGAGCCGUGCGACUCCAGCUCUCUGACGGAGCCCCAGGGGCCCGCCUCGCCCAGCACGCCCCGGGUCCCCGUCUGCACGCUGCCGGCCGAGCUCGCCGCCUCCCUGCUGCAGUCGGAAUCGGCCCUCCCGGGUCAAAGUCCCACCGAGGCGGUGACCACCCCACAGGGCGGCCUCGCCGAUCCCCUCGUCCCUUCUGCCGCCGAUCCCGCUACCACUCCUCCCGCCCCUGCGCCUCCCCUUCUCUCCUCUCCCGCUCUAGACCCCACCCCCACGGCCACCCCCGCGACCCCCACCACGCCCUCCCGGCCCGUCCGCCGGCGCCGGAGGGGCAGCCGAGGGAGCAGCCCCGCCCGGAGAGGGGCGCGCAACGCGGCCGCCAAGCGCCGCGGCCGCCCGCCCAACACGGUGUUCCAGGAGCUGGAGCAGCAGUACUUCACCCAGAUGGUGGUCAAGCCCAUCCCCAAGGUGAUGGUGCGUGGCUGGUGGGUGAUCCGGGACGCAGAGGAGCUGCAGGCCACCCUGCGUGCCCUUAACCCCAGGGGCAUCCGGGAGAAGGUGCUCCACAAGCACCUGGCCAAGCACAUGGAGAACCUGAGCCUGAUGUGCACCAAGGCUGUCGCUGACCCCAUAUUCCAGGUGAAGACUGAGGAAGGCGGGUCCCUGAUGGAGGCUCUACAGAAGCCGUGGCAGGUGCAGGAGAGGAUGCUGGAGGUGGACGUCAACGCCCUCCAGUGGGUGGAGGAGCUGGAGCAGAGAGUGAUCACCGCAGACCUACAUCUCAAGGUGGCUCCUCAGAGCGUCCUGAAAGCAGAGUCUUCAGAGGUCGUGGACCCGGACGCACCAGUGGCAGAAUUCCAGGCCUACACGGCGCCCGAGCCGGACUCGACGCGGGACGACCUGCAGUACUACGAGCACGAGGUGGACCCGCGCGACGACUGGACGGUGCGCACCAAGAAGGAGUGGUCGGACCUGCCGCGCGUGGCCACGCACGCCCUGGACCUGGCCGUGCUGCGGCUGGCCAACCUGGAGCGCAACAUCGAGCGGCGCUACCUCAAGGAGCCGCUGUGGAACACGGCCGAGGUGAUGCGGCUGGCCCCCGUCACCACCACGCCCGGGGAGGCCCCGCCCAUGGACGUCAUGAGCCUGGAGAGUGAGAUCACCCCCCGCCUGCGGACCUGGAGGCAGGCUCUGGACCGCUGCCGCAGCGCCCCCCAGCUGUGCCUCUGCAUACUGCAGCUGGAGAAGGCCAUCGCCUGGGAGAGAUCGGUGGUCAAACUGAACUGCCAGGUGUGCAGGAAGGGGGACAACGAUGAGUACCUGCUUCUGUGCGACGGCUGUGACCGCGGCUGCCACAUGUACUGCCUCCGGCCCAAGGUCACGCAGGUGCCCGAAGGAGACUGGUUCUGUCCCACCUGCACUGCUAAGGAGGACGGUGAGUCACCGGGGAGCCAGCGCUCGGCCAAGAAGCGCACCCGGCUGAAGAAGAGGCGGUACGAGGACGACAGCUCGGACGAGGAGACGGCGCCGCGCCGCCUCGUCGGCAUGGCGACCAGGCACAAGGACACGCCGCCGUCUGCGCCCUCCUCCUCCUCCCGUUACUGCGGCGACGCCGCCGCCGCCGCCACAGCUGGGAUCUCGCCAGCCAAGCGUCGCCGAAUGACCACCCGUAAUCAGCCGGACCUGACCUACUGCGAGAUCAUCCUGAUGGAGAUGGAGGCCCACGCCAGCGCCUGGCCCUUCCUGGAGCCCGUCAACCCCCGCCUGGUGCCCGGCUACCGCCGCAUCGUCAAGACCCCCAUGGACUUCCUCACCAUGCGGGAGAGGCUGCUGCAGGGAGGGUACUGUAACUGCGAGGAGUUUGCGGCGGACGCCCAGCUGGUGUUCAACAACUGCCAGCUGUUCAACGAGGACACGUCGGAGGUGGGCGUGGCCGGGCACGCCAUGCGCAUCUUCUUCGAGAACCGCUGGGCCGAGUUCUACGACAACAAGGACAAAUGAGAGCCCUGAGAGAGACUGUCUGGAGGCCGGCCCAGCGCACACCUGUAUCCCCGUGUCCAUAGACGGCGACGGCCGCCUGUACCUCGGCCCCGCGUCCCUUCCUCUCACGGCCAGGGGUCUGUCCCCGCCAGGGGGCCCCGGCCCAGCUCGGCUCUCAGGACUCGGUCAGGGGUGGACCACACUGCUGCAGCCUCGUGCGCUGCGCAGCGGACCUGCUGUGCUGCACCCCUCGACCUGAACACAGCUUGGACAAAAUCAAGAAAACAAAAAAAAUGACCUUUCUGACCUGGUGUUCACCCCCCCCCCCCCCCCCCCAUACCUGUUUCUUAAUGGUAAUGUAAUGUGGUCUCAUGCCUAGAAGUACCUUUUUGUUUGCUCAAUAUAUUUUUUAUUAUAUAUUCUAUAUAUAUAUAUAAAAAUAUCAAUAGCUGGGAUUAUUUAAUAGCAAUAGCGUGUAGUGGUUGUGUACUGACUACAUUAUAGAGAUGUCUAGAUGGUUGACAGAAGGCCAGUUAAACAAACGGGGAAACAAGGAACGUUGUUUCUAAAGCCGUCACAUCGUAGUUGGGCAAAUAACCUCCAGUUCGAGACACACACACACACACACACACAUACACAUACACACACACACACACACCCUGCUGCUGUGUGUAGGACACUGGUUUCUAACAACUGGAGUAUUUAGUGUGUGUCUAUCGGUUAGGCGUCUAAUCUUGUGUUUGGAUGUGUCCCUCCUGAGGAGCACAUAAUUGCUGUGAGUUUGGUGUUAGCAGGAUAGAUUCGCCCUCACAGGCCAACCUGAAUGGGACUGCAAAGAGUUGAACCUGUCUCCAUAUGCGAUGUGUAGAAUGUACAUAGAAAUGAGGGGGCCCAUAGGCCUCGACGCAAGUUUGCCCUAAGCAUCUUCAGUCGAGACACGAGAGCGAACCAGGCUUUGCUCAGAUCAUACCGGACCAACACUGAAAACAAACUUCCAGCCCUCCCUCCUUCCCAAUUCACCAAGGUUUGUUCCUCCAGACCAAAUUCAACAUGGCCGAAGGGUAGGAGCACGGUGUGUUUGAGUGCACCUUCCAUAACAUAGCAACGUGGGCUGAGCACACUGAAGUCCCACAAGUUCAAAGCCUGUGCUGUUUUAAUUUACAUUCCGAGUUCUGUUUUUUAAUCCACUAUAGUUUUGUUUGUACCUUUUGUCUUCUUUGACGCUUCCGAAGGGCCAAUGUACAUGUUGCACGGCAUGGUGUUUGUUCUGAAGGCGACAGGACACGUCUCCUCAACCCGGGUUAUAUUUAAGCUAGUUUCUUACACUGAACUCAAAUAGGUUAAUAGGAAGUACAUUUGUUGUUCCUUAUUACACUUAAAGGGACACCUGUUUUUCAUAAAAAUACGCAGAAAAAAAAUUAAAUAAAAACCAAACGUGGUGUUAAGUGAAUUUUUAAUAAUGUACAGUUUUGGUGACUUUAAAUUUGUUCCUUUCUAUAUUUUUAGGACCAAUUUAUCAUUUUUAAGAGGAGGUAUUAUAAGACUAUGUUGUAUCAAGGUGAUGUAACGAGUGUGCAUCUGUAGAAUGUACUGUGAGUUGAAUAAAAACCACGACUAGUA